rnacentral:rRNA from 1 species
GACGAACGCUGGCGGCGUGCUUAACACAUGCAAGUCGAACGGUGAACCGCUUCGGAGUGGAGCAGUGGCGAACGGGUGAGUGACACGUGGGCAACCUGCCCCCGGCUCUGGGAUAACUCCAAGAAAUUGGGGCUAAUACCGGAUGUUCACCUCUUCCCGCAUGGGUGGUGGUGUAAAGGGUUUCCGGCUUGGGAUGGGCCCGCGGCCUAUCAGCUGGUGGGUUGGGUAGGGGCCUACCAAGGCGACGACGGUGAGCCGGCCGGAGAGGGUGACCGGCCACCAUGGGACUGAGACACGGACCAGAGUCCUACGGGAGGCAGCAGUGGGGAAUAUUGCGCAAUGGGCGGACGCCUGACGCAGCGACGCCGCGUGGGGGAUGACGGCCUUCGGGUUGUAAACCUCUUUCAGCAGGGACGCAGCGCAAGUGACGGUACCUGCAGAAGAAGCACCGGCCAACUACGUG